rnacentral:rRNA from 1 species
GACGAACCGUGCGAACGUUAUUCGGAAUCACUGGGCUUAAAGCGCGUGUAGGCGGGCCGCCGCGUCGGCUGCUGAAAUCCCCCGGCUCAACCGGGGAACGGGCACCGAUACGGGCGGCCUCGAGGGGGGUAGGGGGGCCUGGAACUUCCGGUGGAGCGGUGAAAUGCGUUGAGAUCGGAAAGAACACCAACGCCGAAAGCACUCUGCUGGGCCGACACUGACUCUGAGAGACGAAAGCUAGGGGAGCAAAUGGG